rnacentral:rRNA from 1 species
ACGAACGCUGGCGGCGUGCUUAACACAUGCAAGCCGGACGGGUCCCGGGUAGCAAUAUCUGGGAUCAGUGGCGAACGGGUGAGUAACACGUGGGUAACCUGCCCUCGAGUGGGGAAUAAGCUCUCGAAAGGGGGUCUAAUACCGCAUAACGUUUCAUGGUGAUGGUCAUGAAGCCAAAGCCGAAAGGCGCUCGAGGAGGGGCCUGCGUCCUAUCAGCUAGUUGGUAGGGUAAUGGCCUACCAAGGCUAUGACGGGUAGCCGGCCUGAGAGGGUGUCCGGCCACACUGGGACUGAGAUACGGCCCAGACUCCUACGGGAGGCAGCAUG